rnacentral:rRNA from 1 species
CCUACGGGAGGCAGCAGUAAGGAAUAUUGGUCAAUGGACGCAAGUCUGAACCAGCCAUGCCGCGUGAAGGAUGAAGGUCCUCUGGAUUGUAAACUUCUUUUAUCUGGGACGAAAUCACUUUUUUCUAAGAGUGUUGACGGUACCAGAGGAAUAAGCACCGGCUAACUCCGUGCCAGCAGCCGCGGUAAU